GAUGAACGCUGGCGGCGUGCCUAAUACAUGCAAGUCGAGCGAACAGACGAGGAGCUUGCUCCUCUGACGUUAGCGGCGGACGGGUGAGUAACACGUGGAUAACCUACCUAUAAGACUGGGAUAACUUCGGGAAACCGAAGCUAAUACCGGAUAAUAUAUUGAACCGCAUGGUUCAAUAGUGAAAGACGGUUUUGCUGUCACUUAUAGAUGGAUCCGCGCCGCAUUAGCUAGUUGGUAAGGUAACGGCUUACCAAGGCUACGAUGCGUAGCCGACCUGAGAGGGUGAUCGGCCACACUGGAACUGAGACACGGUCCAGACUCCUACGGGAGGCAGCAGUAGGGAAUCUUCCGCAAUGGGCGAAAGCUUGACGGAGCAACGCCGCGUGAGUGAUGAAGGUCUUCGGAUCGUAAAACUCUGUUAUUAGGGAAGAACAAAUGUGUAAGUAACUAUGCACGUCUUGACGGUACCUAAUCAGAAAGCCACGGCUAACUACGCG
rnacentral:rRNA from 1 species